UUUAGAAAAAUAUAUACAACUUUUAACAAUGGAUCUCUUGGCUCUUGCAACGAUGAAGAACGCAGUGAAAUGCGAUACGUAAUGUGAAUUGCAUCAUUUUGUGAAUCAUCGAAUCUUUGAACGCAACUUGCACUCUUUGGCUUGCUAAAGAGUAUACCUGUUUGAGAAUCAUAAAUAUCAACUUGACUUGAGUUCGAGUCAAAAUUGAGACUUCAUUUGCUGUUCACAAUAGAUGAGUCUUGAAUUAUAUAAGAAUUCAGGUUUCGGUGUGACCGCAUAUACUGAACAUUGUGGGAUACGAAACUGUAGGAAAGAUUUUCUACGGAUCGAAUUUCAUCAUCACAAUGAGUUCAGUAUGAAAGGUGUGACCGGAGCAAUUUUCAACUGAAUACUUCAACAAUUUAUUACGAAUAUAUAUUUUAUAUAUUCAAUAUUUGAUCUCAAAUCAGGCAAGACUACCCGCUGAACUUAA
rnacentral:rRNA from 1 species